UACGGAGGGUGCGAGCGUUGUCCGGAAUCAUUGGGCGUAAAGGGCGCGUAGGUGGCCCGGUCAGUUCGUGGUGAAAGCGCGGGGCUCAACCCUGCGUCGGCCAUGAAUACUGCCGCGGCUGGAGCACUGUAGAGGCAGGCGGAAUUCCGGGUGUAGCGGUGGAAUGCGUAGAGAUCCGGAAGAACACCGGUGGCGAAGGCGGCCUGCUGGGCAGUUGCUGACACUGAGGCGCGACAGCGUGGGGAGCAAAC
rnacentral:rRNA from 1 species